AGCAGCCGCGGUAAUUCCAGCUCCAAUAGCGUAUAUUAAAGUUGUUGCAGUUAAAAAGCUCGUAGUUGAAUUUCGGGGUUAGUAGGUCGGUCAUGCCUCUGGUAUGCACUGGUCUCACUGAUUCCUCCUUCCUGAUGAGCCGUAAUGCCAUUAAUUUGGUGUUGCGGGGAAUCUGGACUGUUACUUUGAAAAAAUUAGAGUGUUUAAAGCAGGCUAACGCUUGAAUACAUUAGCAUGGAAUAAUGGAAUAGGACGUUCGAUCCUAUUUUGUUGGUUUCUAGGAUUGACGUAAUGAUUAAUAGGGAUAGUUGGGGGCAUUAGUAUUCAAUUGUCAGAGGUGAAAUUCUUGGAUUUAUUGAAGACUAACUACUGCGAAAGCAUUUGCCAAGGAUGUUUUCAUUAAUCAAGAACGAAAGUUAGGGGAUCGAAGACGAUCAGAUACCGUCGUAG
rnacentral:rRNA from 1 species